rnacentral:lncRNA from 1 species
AGAGAUUCCUGAAGACCCACAGAUUGCGGAAGAAUAUUAUAAUGAUGAGUUUGAAUCCUGUUCAGAAAGCAGUGAAGAGGAGGAGGAUAUGGAAACAUCACAGACUGUCUCUAAGGCAAAUCACCAGGACAGUGAUAUUGAGGCAAUGGUCAAGUAUUUGGAGAGUGUCCUGAAUAAUAGCUCAUUGGGCUCUGGGACCAUCACCAGAGUGGCUCCUGAAGUGCCCCAGGGAUUCAGAGCUCUCAACAGCACUAUGGCUGGGACCAAGCUGAAACGCAUGAGGGAG